UGUUAUUUUUUGCCAUUCAUUGUCUGGCUUGGCAUUCUUGUUUUCAUCUUCAACGAAGUUCUGAGUUUGCUUUUCAAAGCGACCUACUUCUUCUUGAAGUUCAUCUUCAUCCGUUUGAUAGGAGUCAGGUUUUUUGUUUAAUUGUAGUUUCAAAAAUUCUACAUCUUUUUUGAGUUGACUGCAAAGUUUCUCAUAUUUCUCAUUCCGUUCAGUAAGUUCGGCAUUAGCUUUCUCCAAUUGUUGCAAUUUAUUUAAUCGGAAAGAGCCAAUGCUGUUGCGUGGGGUUACUUCAUAAGGUACUCGAUCGGAAACAGGGUGACUCAUGUCGAUUUCGCUAUAGAGGUGUUUAUCUUAGACACACACCACAUAAGCACGACAUUACCGACCCAACACAAAUUCCGUACUUUACUUUUGGAAGCAACUCUGUGUUGUAAGGUGUAAAAAAAUACAGCUCCACAACCACUAUUUUGAAAGAAGCGACCAGCUGAUGUUGUAAAUUUGAUAAACAAAUAUUCAGCUGACUCCAAUAUUAUUUGUCUCUUUCAAAUUAAAUUUUGUUUGUUUUGCCAAUAAAACAAUUUAUUGGAAAUUUUAAAACUUUGAUUUGCGAAACACUCACCGUCGACGAUGACUAAACGUGGGUGAAAUUGUGUUCCUGAGGAAUUACUGCUCCAAUACAACAACAAUCCGCCAACUAUAAAUCGCUCUGAACGGUGAAAAUUUGAAGGUUUGUUGCAGCAACGAUUAACACGUCCGUCUGUUAUUUUGUCAUUUGUCUGUCGCUCAGCUUGCCUGCCUGUCGUAAGACGCCAAUAACCCCAAGAAACUUGUGAAGGACACAAAAGUCAGAUGGAAAUUAAAUAACGAGACACAGGUGAAUAAAUUGGCACACAGUCUGUGAUUAUGAUAAGGUGGAGGAGUAAUGUAACAAAAGGAUUUUAUAAAGUACGAACACCCAUUGACUCUUAUAAAGUUGAACAGGGAAAAUCAAGGUCCAUCAAGUAUUAUAUCUUUCCGUUCUUGGUAAUAACCAAAAACGGGAUGGCGCAGGAUAAACAAAUCAAUAGCUCAAUUUUUUAACAGAGUAUGAAGCGAUACGAGUAUAACCUGUAUAACAAGACAACAUAUUCUCGAGAUUCGAAUGCACACGGAUGCGGAUAUCAGCACCGUUUCAGCCUCUCAGCCUCUAGGUGUGGCGAAAGACUUCAAAAUGGAUGAACUUUACAUAGCAAAUUCCUGAAAAUAUAAUUGAAAAAUCUGACCAAAAUCACACACAACAACAUGGUUUUA